CUGCCCUUCUUGUGUUCUGUCUUCGAACAUUCAUUUAUUCGGCACAUCUUGUCUGUGCCCUACCACGUGCCAGGCACUGAAGAUUCAGCAGCUCAGGGCUACACGGGUCUUCCAUUCUGUUGACAUCUCUUUGCCACUACCAAGAUGGAAAAUGUUGUGGUAUCACUUAUUUCCCCUUGCUCAUUAGUUGCCUGAUUAGACAUCAGAACCUCUGAGUUUCAGUCAAAGGGCUGUCUAGACUCGGAGCUUUAAGCCUUUUAAUUGUGAAAAUGACAUCACCAGUAAAGGGCCUGGCCUGGUGCUUGGCACACAGUAGACCGUCCAUAAAUGUCUGUUUUUUUGAGACCUUGGCAAAGAGGAGGAUUGAUGUGGGAGGUGGCGCAGAAGGUUAGAUUUUUGUCAUUUUAGAGAGAUCUGAGCUAGAUCAUUCAUUCAACAAAUAUCACUGUUGCACUAGGCUUUGAGAUAGAAGAGUGUGCAACGCACAGAUUAAGCCUCAAAGGGAUGAGGCAAGGUAUAAGAGAAACAGACUAGCAAACAGGCAAUUGCAACACAGUGUGAUAAGUGCUAGAAGGGGAAGUACAGGAUGUUUCUUAGCCACAAACAAGGGGCAACUAACCCAGGCUGGUGAGUGGGGGUGGGGGAAGCAUCAAGCAAGGCUUCCUGGAGGAAGUAGCAUAUGACCUGAGACUUGACGGAGACCUAGGCAUUAGGAAGGUAAAGUAUGGGGAAGGAGUGGGGAAGGGUGCAUAGUGUCCCAGGCACACGGAACAGUAUCUACAAAAGCUCAAAGGGGCUCAGAGAGGAUUGAAACUGAUAGUCUGGCUGGAGAGUCAUGUACAAGGGGAUGGAAGGCUGAGAGAUGAGGCUGGCAAGGUGUGCUCAGUGAAGAUGAAUAAUUUGCCUAAGAACACUUGACUGGUGAAUCCCAUUCUCAUUUUUGCAGUAUCCAAGAGCUGGAUGCCUACAUGAUGCAGUCCACAGUGGCUGAGCACCUUCUGUCCCUGGGAUCUCAGACUCUGCCUGCCACAGAGCAGAUGACUGGAAAACCCUCCCCACUUGCUGUCAUCAUUCCUGAAAGGUCUUCAGGUGUGCCAGCAAUUUUCAGACUGAAUAUCUACACCAGAAAAGCACAUAACUACCAUGAGCAUAAGACGUGGGAGUGCCAUGGAGUGACCAUAGAAGUAUAGACAGUAAGAUCACAGCCAGAUACAACUUCUUGUUUUAUAGAUGAGAGACCUGAGGCCCAGAAAGAGGAAGGCACUUGCCCAUGGUCACACAGUGAGUUAGUGAGACUGGAGCCCAGCUCUCCAGGGUUCUGUGCUGUGCUAGUCACAGGCUGUUAGGCAAUUGGCUUUCCUGGGUUCUGGUCAAAUUCAUUUUUUGCCUACUCUGCUGCAUCUACACAGUCAGAUGUGAUUUGGGUUAAAGUUCAUUGAAUCAUGUCUAUUUCUUGUCUGUUCAGUUUUGUGGCUUCCUGGGUCUCUUUGACUAACUUCUGUUCUUUUAAAAUCCAAUAUGGUAUCAAUACAUGGUGAAAAUAUUCUCUGAAAACAGUCUGGCACUUCCUCAAAAAGUUAAACAUAGAGGUAUCAUAUGACCCAGCAAUUCUCCUCCUAAGCAUAUACCCAAGAGAACCGAAAACAUGUUCACACAAAAUAUGCACUCAUAUAUUCAGCAGCAUUAUCCAUAAUAGUCAAGAAGUGGAAACAAUCUAAAUGUCCAUCAACUGAUGAAUGGAUAAAGGAAAUGUGCUAUGUCCAUACCACGAGAUAUUAUGUGGCAAUAAAAAGGAACGAAGUACUGAUCCACGCUACAAUACAGAUGAACCUUGAAAACAUUAUGCUAAGCGAAAGAAGGCAGUCACUAAAGACCACAUAUCAUAUCAUUCCAUUUCCAUAAAAUGUCCAGAAUAGGCAAAUCCAUAGAGACAAAAAGUAGAUUAGUGGUUUAGGGGUUUUUAGGGGCUGGGGGUGGGGCAAUGGGAAGUGACUGCUAAUGGAUGUGGAGUUUCCUUACUGGCUGAUGAAAAUUAGAUAGUGGUGAUCGUUGCAUAA
rnacentral:lncRNA from 1 species